ensembl:lincRNA
UCAAAAGUUUUUACAGCAGCACCAGAAUGACAGAAUAUCUGUAUUGGGUUCUGAGUUGGAUAGUUAACUGCCUCUUCACCUCACUUGCCUUCACUAUCAACUUCCAUAACCAGUGAAAAAUAAUGAAAUAAUGGCAAUCAACCCUCUUCUGCUCUUGGCAUCUCAGCUUUUCCCAAGCCUUAACUCUCCACCUCAACUGGUCUCUGGAACUCAUGCAGGUCACUGUUGUUGGGAAUGGAGUUUCCUCAAAAAAUUAAAAAUGGAACUACCAUGUGACUCAGCAAUCCCACUUCUAAGUAUACAUUCAAAAGAAUUAAAAUCAGGAUUUCAAAGAUAUAUGUACACUCCUAUUUUCUUUGCAGCAUUAUUCACGAUAGCUAAAAUAUAGAAACAACCUAAAAUCCCAUUGACUCCUAAAUGAAUAAAGAAAAUCUGAUACAUACGUACAAUGGAAUUUUGCUCAGUCUCAGCAAAGAAGGAAAUCUUACCAUUUACCACACCGUGGUCAAACUUUGAAGACAUUAUAUUAAGUGAAAUAAGCCAGACACAGCUAUGAUGUAUUACAGCAAAGAGAAUAAAAGAAUAUCAACAAAAGAAAAUGGAACAUGGGGUGAAGUUUGGAGGAAACGAAGUGCAAGGUGCCAAAAUCAUUUCCUAGUACAUAGAUGUGACUAAUUUUUCCAGCAAUGAGUUGUGACAACUUGUGUGAAAUGUCAUCUACCAAGGAAGCACACUAGAAAUUCAGCGCCCAGGGAUUUUCUUCAGGGAUGGGUUUGUGGGGAUACCUCUCUCUAUCAUAUAUUAAGUUUCUAGCUUCCAAGUAGGAAAGCAGGUGUUCAAUAUAAAUUAUAUUGUAUGCACAAACUGUUUAGGAACAUUGAGACACUCUUUAUUCUUAUUUAAAAAUGCACAGAACUUUGACACAUGUGGAAACACUCUUGAAAUCCAUGUUUUUAAGUGCCAACCAAGAGGCAGCAAUGCAAGCAAGCCUUUCUAAGGAUAUUUUCAGGGUUGCUGUGUUAACUUUUUUCUGUGUAAUAUGAUAUAGUAAUUAAAUUUAAUGGGGAUUAUGUUGGGAAUAUAAUAAGUCAAAAUUUUCUGUCUUACCAUUUUUAAAAUAAUAGGAUAAUCUUACCAAAUACUAGGCAAAACCAGAAUAAAAAUGAAGUUAUGCUUGGGAAUCAAUAGAGGUAAAUAAGGUAAUAUCAUGAAUAUAGGGUCACAUUAGAAAAAAAGGCUUUUACAUUUUAGUAUAAUAAUUAUAUUAUGUCACUUAAACUAUUUUAAAUAUAUUUUAAAUAUAUCAGAAAGACUUUGCACAGUUUGAGAAAUGCUAAUAUAAACAGUGACAUUAAAUACUCUGCAUUCUAUUUUUACAAAAUUAUUUGAUAGAAGUACAAAUGUGAGAAAAAAGUGUGACAUUUCUCACAUGUCAGUUUUUGUAUUUAUUAAAAUCCAUUUAUAAUUUAAAAACGAAUUGAGCAACUAAGGGAGGGUAACUGUAAGUUAUUAUCCAUCUGGAUAUAGCUCACAUACUUGCCAUCAGGUCAUUUUUGGCCUAAAUUUAUUUUCUGUUGACUCUGCUUCACUUCUUAGUGAAGGUGUUUGUUCAUUGUUUCUUUGGUCUUAUUUGAUUAUGAGAUGUAUGUGGUUGAUGGUAUUAUUUGCAGACUCUGAAGACAAGUAGAAGGAUGCUUUCCUGUGGAGAGUGAUUCAAUUUGAUGUGCCCAGAGCCUAAAUAACUUCAGAUUUGGACCCCAACUAUCCCCUGCCAACUCUUCAUUUUGUAUGUGAGUGCCAGGUUCAAGGUCUCCCUUACUAAGUGUGGGAAAAAGCCCCAUGGCCCCAGAGCAAUACUGACUGUAUUUCUGUCCACAUAACUGACUUCUGUUUGCUUUCAAUGCUUGCCACUUAGGUUCAAGCUCAUGCUUUUAAUCUCUCUCUCUCUCUCUUUUGAUUUGUAGUGUUUUUGAUUAUAUCCUGCAGCCUAGAAAUGAAGUAUAAUUUGCGUUUCAUGCAGGUUUUAGGUAGCAGGAAUGCCCCCAGAGAAUUUAACCUACUCUGUUGAUGGAAACAGUACUCCACAGCACUUUGAUGCUUAAUAUUCAGUGAAUUGUGGCUAAUACUGUAUCAUGGAAUUAUAAUACAAAGAAAGUUAUUGUGGAAAAAUAACAUCCAUUUAUCACCUUCUCAUUCCAUAAACAUUAACGGUGUUUACUGAGAGCCAAGCACGAUACUCAGUACUGAGGCUUCAGAGGGGAAGAAGUAAUAGUCCUUACUCUUAAGGAUCAAUGCAUAGUGAAGGUACAGACCAACUUGUAAGUGAAUAAAUUAUAGUACAAUGUCAUAUAUACGAAAUUAGGUGAAAACAGGAUACAUGAGUCCAACAUGACGUUAUGUUUUCAUCAAAUUCUCAUAUCCUAUUCUAUGAGCAUCCUGAAAACUAUCCUCCCCAAAUUCUUGCAGUUGUCCAAGGCCAUUUAAAUAUUAAUCUGUCCAGUUAAAUGUGGGCCAGAUAGAAGUGGGCCACUCCAAGGUUAAAGCUGUAAAAUCUGCUGUGCCAUCCUCCAGUUUCUCUCUUCCUCUGCAGUGGCAAUAUGGAAGUCUCUUGUGGGGUCACAAGCUCAAAAUAGCAUGGGUGUCAUAUUGUGGAGCAGUGCCCUGGGCAAUAACCGUGAUUUACUGUGGGGUUUCUGAAAGUAGGCAAACCACUGAGAUGUCACAUUUGUUUAUUAAAUAUAGCAUAACAUGGACUAUGCUACCAAUAAAAUAUGGAGGGAGCACAGAAAAUGGAAUUGACUUUGUUUGGUAGGGGCCAGGAAGGAUUUCUGGAAGAGUAUUGACCACAGGUUGACAUAGAGAAGACCAGGUGCAGACAUUAAGGUGUGAAGAUAAUUAGAAUAUUGGGGAAACUAUAAACAAUUGUAAAGACAAUUACUGUAGAUGCAAGGAAAGAAAAGAAUAUUAAGAAGAAGCUGAUCCUAGUAAAGAAUAUUCUAUAACAAUGUCUAAGAGUUUGGGGCUGCAAGUAAUAGAAACAGACUCUAGCUAAUUUAAGUUUUUUUUAAAAAAAUCAACUGGAUAAGUGCUUAGGUGGAAAACAGGAUCUAGAGAACCGAGCUUGGAGAACUGAUGUAACCAAAAGAUUCUGGUGCAGGAACCACUUCCAAGGUUGCCCAGCAUAGGCAGUCUGACACCUCUCCCCCUACUUGGCAGCUUCCCCAAACACCCCUAUUCUUCACCUUAGAUUUUGAGGCUCCUGACACUAGAUGAUGCUUUGAGAUAAAUUGCACAUUCUUUUUAAAUUUACUAAAUAUUUGCCCAGUGCUCAAAUCCUUUUCUAAAAGCGUUGUCUGAGCUUAAGUAACGUGCCCCUAUUUGCCGCCAGGAUACAGCAUUUCCCAUAGGAGAAGGCAGGGUUUGGACAUAGGGUAGACAAAACAAUAACAACAACAACAGCAAAACAAACAAACCGUCCUCUAAUAAGCCAUGCAAGAUUUGAUCCCAUCUUGUGUCAUUUCUCUCCUUUCUCUCUGUAUGACAAAUACUGCAACAUUCUUUUAUUUCUUCAAACGAGGCCGACUCAAAUCACACACUUCACUUACUGUUCCCUUUUCAUGAAAUUCUUUUCACGCGCCUUUUUAUUUACCUUUUUAGUGACUCAGCUGUCACCUUGAUAGGUCGAUCUUUCUUAUAAAUCCUGUAUAAUUUCACCUAAACUCCCUAGACAAUCUAUAUCACAUGAUUGAUUUAUCAAUUUAUGGCCCUUGUUAAUAUUUAAAGUGAUAUUCAUUUUGUUUGGUUAUAGGAUCAUUAUUUUUGCACCAGGAAACCCUGAGAAGGCAGAUGUUUCUUUUUGAGUACGCGUAUCCCAAAACCUUGAGCACCAUGUGGCCCAUAUUCUGUGCUCUGUAUAUACCCAUUGGAUUAAAGAUUGGGAAGUAGCAACUCUACUUAACAUGAAAAGCUUCCUGAUUAUUUGAUAGAAAUAAUUUUCGUGUAAGUCUAAAAAGCAGAGCCAAAAUUGUAGUUUG